rnacentral:lncRNA from 1 species
CCAAUGAAGAAGAAGAACACCUUUGCGCAUGCAGCCCGCGCAGAUCGUUAUCUGCGGAGAGAAGAGGACCGCUUGUGCAUGACUCAAAGGUGCGUCUAAUUAUGCAAAAUAUUUUUUUUCUUUUUUACAUAUUUUCAUAUGUGAAGGUUUACAACAGUUAUUUUGCUCUUAAUUAUGUGAGUUAUGAUAUAAUUAGGUAGUUUUUCUAACAUCGCUAACAAGCUAAUUCUGGGCUCCCACGCGUCUUGAGAAACAGCUCACCAGUACUGCAAAACCCAUGGAAAAUGGGAGAAAAAGUGAAAUGUCAUGGAAAAUCAUGUUUUGUCCUGGAAAAUUAUUCUAACGGGACUACAAAAGCGUCCAAUCUGUCAACAUUGGUCGGGCAGAGAGCUUGGGGGUCUGUGCUACAAAACUUUCCCUGCAGGCUCCGAGCUCAAUUACCGUACUGUAGCUAGUAGCAGUGCAAUCUCCCGAUAGUGAAAACAAACGGGGGAAAGGGGGACAAAAAGAGCGACACAGCUGCACAGAAACUGCACUAUGUAGACAUCUGUGAUCAAGAUGUAGACAUCGCCACGCAAGAAGACUGUUCUUUUUUAAACCUCUGAGUUGACGGUAAUGUUAUUGUUAUUGUCAUUUUAGCUUGCGCUCAAUCGCGUUUGUCUGUUUUUCUUGCUAACUGAGCUGGGGUCGCACUUCAAAGUCUGUGUUCCGCUCUGAGCCCAGCGAAAGUGAGAGUGAAAUACAACCUUAUCAUACCUUAGACAAACGCCAAUUCACAACAGUGUUUAUAGAUCUGUAACAUAUAAAACAUGAUGCGUUAAUAAUAUGCAUGCACAAUGAAUAGGACCCAUCAGUGUAAAUCAAAUAGCACAAUAACAGACCACUUGGCUGGAUGAAUGUUCCUGAUGAAUGAGGUAUAUUUUGUGUUUAGUUCAGAAAAAAUGUAAGGCCAUUAUUCUCAUUUAGUUCUAUUAAGGUAAAUUUAUGUACUUUGAUUCAAUUUAUCCUCUGAUGGUUAUUAUUAUUACUGUUAUUUAUUUCAGAAAGACAGCUUCCAGAUUCCUUUGCUGGCUCUUUUGUUUUGUACUUAGUUAAUUUUCUAUUUUUUUUUUUAGUAAAGGAAAGGCUGAGAUGUUCAUUGUUACUUGCUUGCAUUAAGUGAGGUGCUGUUCAUCUGUGGAUGCAUUAUUCUAUAAUCUGUUUGGCAUAAUUUUUAAGUAUGUAAGAGGUGAUUUCAUAGGUAGCCACAGACAGCACGUCUUUCAAUGAAGAUGCUUACUGAGAGGAACAUAUUAGACUAUUUAAGAACUAAAUUUAGACUGUCAUACCAGCUUGAACACCACUGAAAAUGUCCUGGAAAAUGAUUUCUGGAAAAGAGUGGGAACCCUCCAGGCAGCAUUGUCAGGCUGAACAUACCGCCUGUUAUCAAACAAAAUAAACUGUUUUGUAAUUAUAAUGUAACAGAGUAUGCAGAAACGAAAAUGUUCUCAAAUAAAUACAUUUCUGUAGCAAACGGAUUUAUCUUUGGUUAACAUUCAUUUGAAAACAAUUCUCUUUACAAUACCGAAGUGUGUGUGUGUAUCUCAAGCAGAUGCAUGUUGCUACAAGUAAUGUAUGAGAAACCAAGCUGAUUUAGUCACAUCAAUGCAUGCAUGAACUGACUGUGAAUUAGCAUCAUUUCAUGAUCUAUUGAGUGUGGAAUAAUCACAUGAAUUCAAAGUGACAGGCUCAUUUGUGUUGAGUGAGAAAAAAGCAUCAAUGACACAUCUGCAUUAAUUCAUGUAUUAUUUCAUCAGGAUUUAUGCAUUACAUAGAUGUUAUUCAGCAUAUAUUCAUACACAGACAUAUUUAUUGUUUUAUUACUUUUGUCAUUUUUAGGUUAUUUCAGUGACUUAUAUAACAUUUUAUGUCUUAAACAGAGGGGUACCAGCAAUUUUCGAGCUGCAGUCUCCCGCAGGACAAGCUGAGAGCUUCCUGAGAGGCACAGCCUCUUUCCCUGACUCUACUUUUCUCACAGCAGACAGCCAUACAGGAGGAAAUUUUGUAUUAGGUAAUUUAUUUAAUUAAAAAUAUAUUUUUUUUUCUUGUGAUUUGUGAUGUUUUUAAUUUCCCAGAUCAAUGGUUGUACCAUAGAAGCUAAUACUGACCUCUACAACCUCUCCCUCUAACGACACCAGGCCCUGAUGCUCUUGGCACUGACCCAGUGCUACCUGUGGUGAGGCCGGAUGCAGUAGAGUCUCUGCUCUUACCUGAAGUUCCACAGGGCAGUGAAUUUUGCUGCCCUGGAAAAACUGUGUCCCGCUCCCAACAUUCUUUGUAAAAGGAGGCGACUUUCCCAUCAGGGUGUGGCCCUGCAUGUGAUAGGCUUCCCCCACACGCACUGGUAAGGCAUUUUGUUGUCUGCCUGUAUUAUAUUCAUUUUUUAACCCUUUAAGGGCCAAUUUAAGACAUAAAGUCACCAAUAUAGCAAAAAAAAUGGAAGGAAAAUGACCUAAAAACUGCAUUGAUGAAGUGAUUCCAUAAGUGCAUUCUCUCUCACUAACAGCAGGUGGUAGUCAGUACCAUGUAAAAAAUCACCAGCUUCAGAUUAUGUUUUAUAAUAAAAAUAGGUCGUUUUCCUUCAAUGAAACAUUUGCUAGUUUUUAACAGGGGAGAAGGAAAAUAAGAGAUGUAUUAAAAAAAAUCUGAAAAAAAUAUUAAUUCAGUAUGAUUUUACAGCAAACAAAGUAGUGGCUUUUUUGGCCACUGAGGGGCACUAAAUGGAAGUUGUUUUGAGGAUAUAUAUAUAUACAUAAGAAUAAUAUAUAACAUAUGUUAAUAUAAUAUAUUCUUUCUCUCUCAGCCAUCACCUGCGGAGCCCUGGGUUGCUGGCUUGCUGAGCCCUUUCUUUCGGUAGGUAGUGUUACAUUUAAAAUACUAAUUUAAGUGGCAUGUUUCCAUGACAGAUUUAUUGAUUUAUUUGUUUGUUUUGCAGUGCCCAGCCCGUCCUCACCGCUGCCCCUGAUACCAGGCUGCUGUGUUGGCUGUUUUGCCAUAAUUUGAGUUUCUUUAUUUUAAGUCUUUAAAGUUUACUCUUUCCUUUUGUAAACUCUUUGCUUGAGUCUUUGUUUUUGCUCUUUUGUUAAGUUCUGGUUUUCUUACUUAAUUUCUCCCUAGGAAUACAGGUGCCUUUAGAUAGCUAACCCUGAUGAUAAUAUUAAUAAAAAAAAAACAAGACCAAACGACAAAAAUCUUUGCAUGGGUGACCAGUGUGUGUUUUAAGCUUGAGGUUUCAAUAUUGUAGUUGCUGUGAUUCUUGAUGAACAAAGGUAUCACAAUUUCAGUGGUUUCUAAUAUUCUUCCGCCCAAUCAUUAAAGGCUCUUCACAUGGUGGUUAGACUGAGGCUAACACCCCAUUACUCACUGGAUUCAAACUCCAGCAGCCCUGGACCCACAUUCACCUCUUUUCUUUUCUAAGUGUCAUAAAAUUUGUCAUGGCUCCUUAAGCCAAGUCCUGUGUUGUGGGCUUUAAAGACAGACCUUGAAAUUUGAUUUCAAAGUAUGAUACAGGACUGUUAAUAACUUAGUUCACACAGCUCGUUUUAACCAAGUCCUGUGUUUUGAGCAUUUUGAAGACAAACCUUCAGCAGAACUUGUUUGACACUGUAAUGCUUAGAUCACUGCUGUCCAAAAUAUUAGCCCAAGACUAAGCACAUGUGAAAAACCUUCAGUGUACCUACCAGCUGAAACCCAAAGUACAUAUUUUGUUUCUAAAAACAUGUCGUCUCUUGUAGGUAAAUUGGGGAAAUACGGUAAGCAUAUUAUAACAUGAGGAAAGUUUAGCUGCCUGCAACAACUGAAGGAACAGUUUUUUUUCCCUUCAUCAUUGUCAGUCAUCUUUUGAUAUGAGGACAGAUACA